UUCCGGUUGAUCCUGCCGGACCUGACUGCUAUCGGAUUGAUACUAAGCCAUGCGAGUCAUUGUAGCAAUACAAGGCAUACGGCUCAGUAACGCGUAGUCAACCUACCCUAUGGACGGGAAUAACCUCGGGAAACUGAGUAUAAUGCCCGAUAGAACAUUAUGCCUGGAAUGGUUUAUGUUCCAAAUGAUUUAUCGCCGUAGGAUGGGACUGCGGCUAUCAGUUUGUUGGUGAGGUAAUGGCCCACCAAGACUAUUACAGGUACGGGCUCUGAGAGGAGUAGCCCGGAGAUGGGUACUGAGACACGGACCCAGGCCCUAUGGGGCGCAGCAGGCGAGAAAACUUUGCAAUGUGCGAAAGCACGACAAGGUUAAUCCGAGUGGUUUCUGCUAAAGGAACCUUUUGUCAGUCCUAAAAACACUAACGAAUAAGGGGUGGGCAAGUUCUGGUGUCAGCCGCCGCGGUAAAACCAGCACUCAAGUGGUCAGGAUGAUUAUUGGGCCUAAAGCAUCCGUAGCCUGCCCUGUAAGUUUUCGGUUAAAUCUGUAUGCUCAACAUACAGGCCGCCGGGAAUACUGCAGGGCUAGGGAGUGGGAGAGGUAGACGGUACUCGGGAGGAAGUGGUAAAAUGCUUUGAUCUCUCGAUGACCACCUGUGGCGAAGGCGGUCUACCAGAACACGUCCGACGGUGAGGGAUGAAAGCUGGGGGAGCAAACCGGAUUAGAUACCCGGGAGUCCCAGCCGUAAACUAUGCAAACUCAGUGAUGCAUUGGCUUGUGGCCAAUGCAGUGUUGCAGGGAAGCCGUUAAGUUUGCCGCCUGGGAAGUACGUACGCAAGUAUGAAACUUAAAGGAAUUGGCGGGGGAGCACCACAAGGGGUGAAGCCUGCGGUUCAAUUGGAGUCAACGCCGGG
rnacentral:rRNA from 1 species